GAGGGCAUAGCUUAGUGGUAGGUAGAGCACAUGCUUAGCAUGCCCAUGGUCCUGGGUUCAAUCCCCUGUACCUCCA
rnacentral:tRNA from 1 species